rnacentral:rRNA from 1 species
UGGGGAAUAUUGGACAAUGGGCGCAAGCCUGAUCCAGCCAUGCCGCGUGAGUGAUGACGGCCUUAGGGUUGUAAAGCUCUUUCGUCCGGGACGAUAAUGACGGUACCGGAAGAAGAAGCCCCGGCUAACUUCGUGCCAGCAGCCGCGGUAAUACGAAGGGGGCUAGCGUUGUUCGGAAUCACUGGGCGUAAAGGGCGCGUAGGCGGCUUUGUAAGUCGGGGGUGAAAGCCUGUGGCUCAACCACAGAAUUGCCUUCGAUACUGCGAGGCUUGAGACCGGAAGAGGUUAGUGGAACUGCGAGUGUAGAGGUGAAAUUCGUAGAUAUUCGCAAGAACACCAGUGGCGAAGGCGGCUGACUGGUCCGGAUCUGACGCUGAGGCGCGAAAGCGUGGGGAGCAAACAGG